rnacentral:lncRNA from 1 species
GUGAUUCCAAUAGCCACAUAGAACAAGAUUCUUGACACUUUGAGGAAUCACCUUGAGCUGGAAAAUAUAGAGGCACUUUCUUAGAAGUUGGAUCAUGGUUCUAAGUCAAGAACUCACCAAUACAAGUACCAAUUCCCAAACUCAUUUGGAUGAACCAAAUAUUGUCAAAUUGAAUCAACAAAGGAAUUAUAAAAGAGAAGACCGAACAGAAUUAAACCACAAACAAAUGUACCGAACAGAAUUUAGAAAACCAAAACAUAGGUGCUGGAAAAUUAAGGACAGCCGAACCAAAAAAUGCUCAAGAACACAAAACAACAAGAGUAAUUGAAAGAGAAGAAAGGAAGGAGAAGAGAAUGCUCAUGAAG